CGCUCAUACUGCUUUUCAUCAGGCCAUCAGACAUAUUCAGUUUUUAUGUCCUGGGAUUGAGAUUACUUUGGCUAAAAUGGGCAUGAAAAAGAAUAUCAUGGACGGGGAAAUAGUCAGUGACGACGAGGAGGCGACUGAAGGAGUGGAUACCAAGGAUGAAGCAGAGAAGUCUAAUGGGGGCGUAUGUUGUCCAUGAUUAUUUUUUAUUCUUUUGAAAAUUGUAAUAUUUGGAUUAUGUUACUAGCCUCUUGGUCUUAUGUAUUAAAAGUUACUUUCUUGACAUUCUUAUUUUAAUUCCCCACCUUUGUUUUGUUGCCUCAAUGUCUUCUUUCUUGUCCCUUUAUUGCUCUGUUCGUAUUUUGUAUGAUUUUUGACGUUGUCAAGGACCCUUCUCGGACAAGGAUUGAAUCCUCUUGUCUUCCCCUAGGUCUUGGCCUAGUUUGGUUUCAACGUUUUUAAGGCUUUAUCGCCUACGACCUUAGAGUGGCUAGCUCCAAAGGGGGGGAGGGGUACCACUUAUGAUGCAACGGUUGGCCUUUGUUUUCCUUAUUUAUGCUAAAACGAUAAUUUAAAAGCAUCUUACAAAUAGUAUCAUAUUCAUUAAAAAGUCAAAUAGAUGUAAGAAGUUACAUUUUUCUUUGUGGAGUGACUGCAUGUUACUUAAAUGUUACACUUCUUGAGCUUCUUAGCAUUCCAUGUCCAAGGUAUUGGUUCUCCGGCUAGUGUCUCCAAGUUGUAUGCUUCUUUCCAUGUGUUGGAAUUAACUAUGUACGAGCCUUUCCAAUUAGAUGCUAACAUUGCAU
rnacentral:lncRNA from 1 species